GACUUUUUGGAGGGCCGUAUUUAUUAGAUAUCAACCAAUAAGACUUGUUCUAUUGUGGUGAAUCAUAGUAACUGAUCGGAUCGCAGGCAAGCCCUGCGACAAACCAUUCAAGUUUCUGCCCCAUCAGCUUACGAUGGUAGUGUAUUGGACUACCAUGGCUUUUACGGGUAACGGAGGAUUAGGGUUCGAUUCCGGAGAGGGAGCCUGAGAAACGGCUACCACAUCUAAGGAAGGCAGCAGGCGCGUAAAUUACCCAAUCCUGACUCAGGGAGGUAGUG
rnacentral:rRNA from 1 species